UACGGGAGGCAGCAGGGGGGAAUAUUGCACAAUGGGCGAAAGCCUGAUGCAGCUAUGCCGCGUGUAUGAAGAAGGCCUUAGGGUUGUAAAGUACUUUCAUCGGGGAGGAAAAAACAAAACUAAUAAUUUUAUUUCUUGACGUUACCCGAAAAAGAAGCACCGGCUAACUCCGUGCCAGCAGCCGCGGUAAUACGGAGGGUGCUAGCGUUAAUCAGAAUUACUGGGCGUAAAGAGCACGUAGGUGGUUUUUUUAAAGUCAGAUGUGAAAUCCCUGGGCUUAACCUGGAACUGCAUUUUGAAACUGAAAUACUAGAGUAUCGUAGAGGGAGGUAGAAUUCUAGGUGUAGCGGUGAAAUGCGUAGAUAUCUGGAGGAAUACCUGUGGCGAAAGCGGCCUCCUAAACGAAUACUGACACUGAGGUGCGAAAGCGUGGGGAGCAAACAGGGAUUAGAUACC
rnacentral:rRNA from 1 species